AAACAAGCUAAUUCAUGGCAGCCCCAACCCUCUCUCUUUACCCACACAACCUCUUUUUAUUACUCUCCAGUUUUACAUCUUCGUUUUUUAUUUAAUUUUCAGCACAAACUAUAAUUCUUGCUUUUACAAAUUCUCAUCUUUUGUGCUUUUCCCUUGCACUGGUAACUGGUUGCCAUUUUCUUUCCUGGAAGUGUAAGCAAUUAAGCGGGCUGCAAUGGGAGCCGGGGUGGCUCAAAGUUUCAAUAUUUAUCUUCUUAUCGUGUUUCUGCUUCUCCUUUGCUUGCGCGAAUCCUGUUGCACACCAUCAAAUUAUCUGAGAGGUUUUGUCGUAAUGGAUAAAAAGGCAGUUGCACUUUUGCCCAAGACGUCCCCGAUCCUGUUCUUCAGCCCCUACUUCCUCUUCUUGCACCUUCUCCAUUGACACCAUUUACAAAUUGCACUAUCCCAAAAUUAUCUGGGCUCUGUAUGCUGAACUUUACAGCCAUCGUAAGCAUGAAAGUAUGACAUCCCCUGAUUGUAUGGCUGGAUUUGCACCGUAUCUAGCUAAUGAGUGUGCUGUUCAUUGACUGUCGGAUCUUGAGAAAAUUCUGGUGAGUCGGGGCCAAUGACAGUCUACCGAAUGUAUGCUGUAUUCAGCCAUCAAAUCUUACUGAAGGUUCUUGCCCAAUUAAUGAUGUCAGUGUUGUUGCUGGAGUUUGAAGUUACUCAUUCGAAAAUAAUCUGAUAGUAUCACCUGAAUGUAAGAAUUGA